GAUGUGCUUCCCCUUUCGUUCCUAUAAUCUUAUUCCAAGCGUCUGGACUUUUUAAAUCUGGAGCUGUUGGCACAAAGUGGGCUGUCUUCAUCUGUUCAGGCUUCUGUACCAAAAUACCACAGACUGAGUGGCUUAUCAACAACAGACAUGUAUUUCUCACUGUUGUGGAGGCAGGAAGUCCAGAUCAGGGGUCCAGUACCACCCAGUGGGGGCGCCCUCCUGGGUCACAGACUUCUCGUGGUAUCCUUGCUAGUGGAAAGGGUGAAUGAGCUCUGUGGGGUCUCUUUUAUAACAGUACUAAUCCCAUUUCUGAGGGCUCCACCCUCAUGACCUAAUCACCUCCCAAAGUGAGGUGAUUCCUAAUACCAUCACCUUUGGGGGUUAGGGUCACAACAUAAGAAUUUGGGGGGAGCAUACGCUUUCAGACCAUAGCAGUAGGAGAUCAAUGACUUGUUCUGGAGAGUGAUCUCUUUUUAUGACUUUUUUUUUUUUUUUUUUUUUAACAUUUAUUUAUUUUUUUUUUGAGACAGAGAGAGACAGAGCAUGAACGGGGGAGGGUCAGAGAGACGGAGACACAGAAUCUGAAACAGGCUCCAGGAUCUGAGCAGUCAGCACAGAGCCCGACGCGGGGCUCAAACUCACGGACAGUGAGAUGGUGACCUGAGCCGAAGUCGGCCGCUCAACCGACUGAGCCACCCAGACGCCCCAUGACUUUUUUUUUUUAAAUUGCAGGACAGUUGACACCCAAUGUGACAUUAGUUUCAGGUGUACAACACAGUGAUUCUAAAACUUGACAUGUUAUGUUAUGUUUACCACAAGCGUAGCUACCGUCUGUCACUAUGCAACACUAUUAUAAUCUCAUUCACCGUAUGGAGAUUGAUCUUUACAAACAUCAUGACCAUCGAAAAGGACCCAGACCAGGAUGAUGGUCUUUCUUUUUCAAAUAUAUUAAGGGAUGGCAGAUGAUAGUAAUGCAUGGGUAAAAUCAAUUUUCUGUUGGGUCUGGUCUGGUUGGGUUAUUUGGCUAAUAAUAAUAACAACAGCAAUACCACCUAUCAAUUAUUAUAUAUCUGCCUUUUGCCAAGGGCAGGGAUAAGCACUAUAGAGAGAGACUUAUCAAAUAAACUUUGUAGCAGUUUAAAGAAGUGUGUGCUACUAUCUAUUUUACAAAUAAUAAAUCUUAGACUUACAGUGGUCAGUUAUUACAUCAAGGUCACACAGCUUACAGAGUCACUUUCUAGUACUAGUAGGACUGAAGUAACCAUCCUCUCAACCAUUAAAGCUGUUUAUUAGAGAGUCAUUCGAUAGCUUUAUUUCUGUACUGGUCAGGAUAAGCUAGGUUAUGCUCCAGUAACAAAUAAUCACAAAUUCUUAGUACCUUGAAACCAAAGGUUUAUUUCUCCAUUAUGGAUUGAUUGGGGGCUCUGCUCCAUGUGGUCUUCAAGCUGGGACCCACCUGGAACAUUCACUAAUUGCCAUGCCAGGGGGAAGUGUUACUGGUACUCAAAGCUUCCACCAGGAAGUGACACGUCAUUGGUCAAAGCAAGUCACAUGACUGCACCUCCUUUUCAAAGAGCAGCGAGGAGGUACAGUCCUGCCCUGUGCAAGGACCAGGAGCCUGAGGGCAAUGGCAGUGAUGGUUACUGAAAUGUAGUUUUGCCUUCUGGAAAUGGGAAUGAUAGUCUGCGCUGUGCUUAACUGCAUGGGGCUGUAUAAACACAGAAUGGGCCAACUAGGGAAAAAUGUCAUAGAAACAUAAGACAUUCUUCUUUAUAAAGGAAGGACAUGACUAUUUUAGGAUUAGCAUCACCACUAACUUAGUUUGAAAGUUUACGUAUUUCAGAGAAAAUCUAGUAGAGAUGCUUCUUGCUUUCUCAACCCUCCGAUGUCUAUGGGAGUUGAAAACCUUAAUGGACCCCAACACAGAUCUGUUCUCCUGAGUACGAACUUGGGAAGAAAGAUUCCUGGAGACAAGUUAACUGGUUGUACCUCGGCUUUGACAACUCCAUCUUCUCACAGAUCUUAUAUACUAGUGUUCUCCAACAGGUUGAAAACAGAACAAACCUAGAGUGUCAUGUGGCCAAGUGAGGUUUUUUUUAAUAUUUAUUUAUUUAUUUAUUUAUUUAUUUAUUUAUUUAUUUAGAGAGCAUGCACUCACGAGCAGAGGAGGGGCAGAGAAAGAGGGAGAGAGAGAAUCCAAAGCAGGCUCUACACUGUCAGCACAGAGGCAGACGCAGGGUUCAAUCCCAUGAACCAUGAGGUAGUGACCUGAGCAGAAAUCAAGAGUCGGAUGCUUAACUGACUGAGCCACCCAGGCGCCCCAGAGAUUUUUCAAAUAAAUGUAAAAAAAAAGCACACAGCCAGGCCCUGGGUAACAUUUGAGGGCCUAGGGCCAAAGUACAAAUUGAGACCCCAGCUUGUAGCCUGCCACAUUUCUGUUCCCAUCCCCAAGCUCUGUUCUGCCCUAUACAGGGCCUUAUGUGCAUGUGUACGGAUAUCCAAGCUUUGUCUGCCAUCGCUGCCCUCAAACUGCAGCCCUCUUGGCUAACCCACAGCCCUAGGGGUGCACACACCCGAGGUGCGGUCCACCCUCAGGGAUGAUACCAGAGAAAACAUCAAACAGGCCUGAAAGGGGCUUGGGCUUUGGGAGCAAAGGUACUCAAGGCUGGUUCUAGAAGGGGAGCAUAGGGUAUGAGUGGGGGACACCUUGACCCUGUAGGUUCUUCAGCUGUUGGAACAUCCCCUGGAGACCUUUGAAGUGCAAAGUCUGGGGCAGUGGCCUUGGUUACCUGUAAAUGAGGACAGAGCUGCACCCAACUCCGUGGUUUAUGUUCAGAAUAGCAUCUGCGGUGUAAGAUAAAACCUGAAAGCUCUUCGGAUAAAGAAUUAACUGUAAGGAGCUGAGAAUUUGGGGAGAGAAGAAUGGAUGAGAAGUCACGUAAAUACGCUCUGUUCCCUUUGAAGUCACAUGGCGCUCUGCCCCCACUGCAGCUCCAGCUCAGUAAAGUCCCACCUGUGGCUGUUUCUGGCCAUCACUGGAGGGUUUGGUUUUGAUCCCAUGUCUGACAUGAACGCCUCACCUGAGCAUCACAGUCUGCCACUUAUGUGACAAGACACUGAAAUGGCAAGAUGACCCCAUAAGCAUUAAGAUCCAAAGGUUUUUAAGCAAAGUUUGCAAAAAAAAAAAAAAAAAUAGAUUUUU